CUUCAACUUUCAUUUCCAAACUGACACUACGUUCCAUUUUCCAUCCAUUCACCGUUAAAUGCCAUGCGAAAAGACCAUUUUGCCUUCCUAGACAUGGGCCCCACGGCUUCUUCCUUUUUUUCCUUCCUCUCUCUGUUCCUCUCCUCCGACUCUCCCAUGCCCGAGCGCGUUGCCGCGCCGCUGCCGGCCCGAUGGCUGCCGCGCCGCAGGGAUCCAGCGCCUGCAGGGGCUGCGUGCCCGCCCGAUGGGGCCACGAGCCCAGUUGCCGCCCCACCCCACCCCACCGACGGACCGCGAGCUCGCCUGGCUGCCGCGCCGCCGAGCCGCUAGGGCCACGAGCCCGUAGGGCCGUGAAGCCCGCACGAUGCCGUCGGGCAUGAGCUUGGCCCCGACCCCGUUGGCCAAGCGGUGGCGGCGCGAACUGGAUGGCUAGGGCGGUGCCCGCGGCGUUGGCGUGGGCAGGACGGCCGGGGCAGGCCAUCUCCCACGAUGCAGGGGCCCGACGGCGGCGGUAUGGCCGGGACGGUUGGGGUGGGCCGUUUCCCGCGGAGCAAGCCUAGGACGUUGGCGCAACGCGGGCGGGACGGCCGAGGCCCAGCCAUCUCCCGCGGCGCAGGGGCCCGGCGGGGCAGCCGAGCGGCGGCGGCACGGCCGGGACGGCAGGGGCGGCCCAUCCCCCAUGUAGCAGGCCGGACGAGUCAGAACUGAAGGGAACACGAGGAAAGGAGAAACGAAGAAGCGGUGGGGCCCACGUCUGGGAAGGUGAUCGAUGACGAACAGCAACCGUUUCCAGUCGCAAUUGUACGACGGAUGGACACGCAGCUAGCGACGUACUAACCAGACGCUGAAAGCCAAAACAGCGGCGUGCCCGGAACAAAGAAGAAUCCAGUGUCUGGGUGGAUGCACAGGAAUUCCUGCUGCUGGGAAUCGUAGGAAAACUUCAAGCGGAGGAGAGGAAAGGCUGCCGCUUUGCAUCUGAUCUUUUAAUUUGCUCUUCGUUCUGGAGGGAACCAGAUUCCCCGUGAUCUGAACAUCUCAUACACGUCAAACUUUGAGAAAAAAAGGGAAGCUUUCCGACGUUCCACUUGGAGCUUUGCUUCCUCCAAUCCUCCGUGCUCUGGCCGCCGACCAAACGCACCGCCGAUGGCAGCCCUUUCUGUGCACCCGCUCGUGUCCCUCUGCUCUGUUCAACAAACUUUGAUUCGAUGCCGCGCAAAUGGAAUUGACGAGUUGUCAAUCUGUGAGUGCGCGCUAGAAAGGCCGCGGCACCUUUUGCCACCCUCUGCUUUCCAUGUGUUGAGGAUCCGUCGCAGGUCUUAUCUGUAAGAAGACCAGGGCGGCAAGCAAGGAAGGCACCAGCAACACACUACUGCCCUGCACCUGGCGGCUUGCAGCUAGCUUCGCAAUCUAUAUAAACCCUGCCGGGGUCUUGAGAUCCCAACCAACAAGACAAGCCACCUACCCAUAUCCAUCGUCAGUUAGAAUCUGCAUCAUCGUGCUCUAGAAGCGAGGAAGAAU